CGGGCGGUAUUCUAACGGAAGCUGCACUGAUGACGAACAAAAAAUAUGUAAAUGGUUGGGAAUGCACACUCUGCUCUGAGCCGUAGGGACCGAGACAGAAGG
rfam:Bacillus sp. FJAT-26390 scaffold1, whole genome shotgun sequence.